rnacentral:rRNA from 1 species
CUACGGGUGGCUCCAGUGGGGAAUUUUGCGCAAUGGGGGAAACCCUGACGCAGCAAUACCGCGUGAGUGAAGAAGGCCUUUGGGUCGUAAAGCUCUUUUCUUGGGGAAGAUAGUGACGGUACCCAAGGAAUAAGCACCGGCUAACUCCGUGCCAGCAGCCGCGGUAAUACGGAGGGUGCAAGCGUUGUUCGGAUUUACUGGGCGUAAAGGGCACGUAGGCGGCACAGCAAGUUAAGGGUGAAAUCCCGGGGCUCAACUCCGGAACUGCUCUUAAAACUGCUGAGCUAGAGAUAGUCAGAGGCGGGUGGAAUUCCAGGUGUAGAGGUGAAAUUCGUAGAUAUCUGGAGGAACACCGGUGGCGAAGGCGGCCCGCUGGGGCUAUUCUGACGCUAAGGUGCGAAAGCGUGGGGAGCAAACGGGAUUAGAUACCCGGGUAGUC